rnacentral:rRNA from 1 species
CCUACGGGGGGCAGCAGUGGGGGAUAUUGCACAAUGGGGGAAACCCUGAUGCAGCGACGCCGCGUGAGCGAUGAAGUAUUUCGGUAUGUAAAGCUCUAUCAGCAGGGAAGAAAAUGACGGUACCUGACUAAGAAGCCCCGGCUAACUACGUGCCAGCAGCCGCGGUAAUACGUAGGGGGCAAGCGUUAUCCGGAUUUACUGGGUGUAAAGGGGGCGCAGACGGCAGCGCAAGCCAGGAGUGAAAGCCCGGGGCCCAACCCCGGGACUGCUCUUGGAACUGCGCGGCUGGAGUGCAGGAGGGGCAG